rnacentral:lncRNA from 1 species
UUUUUCCUUGUACUAUUAUCUUUCUCGAAGCGAAUAUUUUCAUUUUUUCUGCUUCGCAAAACUCGUGUAGUUUUUGGACCGCCAUCUUGCUAAAAAAUCUGAUAUACGGCGAGUAAUUCGACCAAUCAGAUUGCAGAACAGCUCAUAUACGGUGAAUGACUAUAUUAUAACAUGUUAUAUAUGUUAUAUAUGUUAUACAGCUAUUUCAAUUAAGGUUGUCCACGACCAAAGCGGAAAAGUCGAAUACGAACGCGAAAGGCUGCUGGGAAUCGCUAACAAAUUAAUUAAAUUUCAAAGCGGUUCCCAGCAGCCUUUCGCGCUCGUAUUCGACUUUUCCGCUUUGCUCGUGGACAACCUUAAUUGAAAUAGCUGUAUAUCAUAUUAUAAUAUA